GAGCGUAGGGCGCGAGCGUUGUCCGGAUUAUUGGGCGUAAAGAGCUCGUAGGCGGCUUGUCGCGGUCGGCUCGUGAAACCCGCGGCUCAACUGUGGGCGGGCAGGCUGAUACGGGGCAGGCUGGAGUUCGGUAGGGGAGACGUGGAAGUUCCUGGAUGUAGCGGUGAAAUGACGCAGAUAUCAGGAGGAACACCCGGUGGGCGGAAGGCGGGUCUCUGGGCCGGUACUGACACUGGAGGAGCGGAAAGCCGUGGGUAGCAAACAGG
rnacentral:rRNA from 1 species